rnacentral:lncRNA from 1 species
GAACAUCCUCCUUCAUUUCCUGCUGUUGGGAUAAGGUAUCCUGACAGCAGCAACUCAGGGGAGAGAAGGCUGGUUUGAGCUCACAGUUCCCAGUUACGGUUCUUCGUUAUGGAGAAGUCACAGCAGCAAGACUCAGAGAGAACUGAUCACACCACGUUACAGUCGCGAGCGGAGAGUUGUGAGUUAAUGCACGCAGGCUAGUGUUGGGCUUGCUCUCCCUUUCAUCCAGUUCAGGGCCCAAUUUAUGAAACAGCGCUGGCCACAUUCAAGGUGGGUCUUCCCUCCUCAACUGACCCAACUAAGGAAAUCCUCCAGGCCAGCAUAAUCCAGACAAUUCCCCGCCGACACUCCCACCACAGUGAAAAAAAAAAAAACAAGGAUAAAUGUUCCCGUGGCCCCAGAGAGCUGAGCAUAUCUGGAAUGCGAUCUAAUGAAUUUUUGACGAAAGGAGGGAAGGAGCCAGAAUUGUGAAGACCGUCUCGAAAGGCUUCUGGCGCUCAGCCUUGGUUUGGAACUCUCCUCCAAACGGUAUUAUUUAUCCAAAUGACUUGCUAAGCUCUUACCCAGAUGGUCACAUCUCGCAAGGACAGGAAGCACACAAAACAUACCAGCCCAGAGGUUGUUUGUUGGAGCCCAGAGGGUGCAGAAGCAGGCUGUACCUCAUCCGGCAUCCUUCCUUCAGCGAGGACAAAUCAACAACUGAACCCAAGCCCCCUGAACCCAAACAGAACUACUCCAUCAACAGAAUGGCAACCAUCAGAAUCAGGGGCUUACAGAGCGUAACAGCUGCCCACUGCGCGCUCUUCCAAAGCCAGUGAUCACGCCACUCAUCUGGCAAACGCUGCCUUCCUGCAGAUUCUCCCACCGUUUAGUAGCUUGUACAAAAGCAAUC